ACUCUGUUUGCAUUAAUGAUUGAGUACCGACGAAAUUUGUUUGCAUUAAUGACCGAGAACUGAUGAAAUCUGUUUGUAUUAAUGACUGAGUACCGAUGAACGACGUACGAACUCCCUCUAUCUUUAGGAGUAGAGAUCUCCUAUUUAUACGAGUCAUAUGUUGAUUGCCAGCAAAAUAUAGUCGAACAAAUAUUUCUCAUCGAGAACCAAAACUGGGUUCCUGCGUAUUGAUGUAUGCGAGGAUGGACAAGUACACGAUGUGCAUGCUUGCACUACUCGUAUGUUCUGCUACUAUUGCUCAAUGCGGUACCAUGGCCAAGACUCAUAGCGAGAAGAUCAAUCUACCUGCCGGGCUAUGCAAGCGUUUCAGUCCUUGCACCACUGCAGUUAUUUGCUUCUGCUGUCUUGUAGAUGAGCACUGCUACACAGCUUUGGAUGAAUGCAAGACAGCGUGUAAAAAAUCCUCUUCUUCAGAAGACAUUCAAGUGGCGACGACAUCCCUUCCUCCUUUGCCUUCUCCUUUUCCAUCAUAGACAUAAUGUUCUGUAUUGCGCAAUAAGAGUUGAUUAAUAUCAGCAUAAGCUGGUGAUAAUAUAUUUCGAUGAAUAUAAUUAUAA